UAAUAAUUAAGAGUAGGGAGUACUCUAGAAGUUGUCAAAAUGGUACUGAAAACUAAGUGCAUCUCGUUACUCCCCCAGUCCCCCUACACUCUCGAAAAUUACUUGAAAAAUGAAAAUUAACCUAUGUUUGCAUCUCGCUACUCCCCGGUCCCCCUACACUCUCUCUCAACCACUAUCUCCCUCUCCCCCUCCCAUGCUUAUCUUACUUUAUCUCCUCUGUUUGCCCAAAAACUGCUUGUGAAGCGAAUAAUCCACCAUAUUCCACAUCAUUUGCAUCGUCAUUCAAUUCAAUGAUGGUGUUUUGAUUAUAGUGAGAUUUUGUACCAAAUCUGCAAUUCGAAAGUCAAAUCUUGAUGCCUAGGAUUGGAAAGAGGGAGGGGAAGAUGGAAGAAUACAACAAAUUAAAUGGCAAAAGUAAGAAGAUUAAUUUUUGUUCUCCUUAUUUAAACUUUUAGAUUUUGACAAUUGUAAUGAAUUUUGGUAUAUUAUUCUUUUGACUUUUAUGGAGAGGUUUGUAACGGAUGAGUUUCACAAUUAUUCUAUAAUUGUUUCUUUCAAGGAAAUAAGAGAGAUUGUAGGAUUAUAAUUGCUUAUUUUAUGGAGAGGUUUAUAAUGGAUUAAUUUUCACAAA